CAUAAUCCUGCUCAGGCUGAAAAGUUGCAGAAAGACCUUAAAAGAUACCUUACGAGGAAGCUUGGUUUUGAGGCAGUUAUGCACAUAACAUGCACAAAAGGUCUUUCCAUACAUACUUUUCAUGGGAACUUUUUUGUAAAAUCUCCUCAUUUAUUAUCCCUUGCCAAUGUCAAUCCUGAUGCUGGAUUUGCAGUACAAAUGUCCAUUGAGGAAAGUCUUGCUGACACAUCCAUGGUUUGUUUUCAAACAGCUCUUUUGUAUACUUCCAGCAAAGGUGAAUGUCGAAUUCGUGCGCACACACUUUGCUUGCCUGUGGUAAAUUGGUUGGCUGAUGUAUAUGCAGGAGCAGACAGACAAGCAGUUGUAUGCCUCUUGGCAAACAUG